GGAAGUUUAGCGGCAAAAAACAUCAGACGCUGUCGAGUCCUUCGAGGGAAUCUUCCCACAGCCCCUCUCUCGUUCCUCUGGUUGUUGUUUUUUUUAGACGUUCCUCAUGCUGAACGGGCCCGAGGGUUCUCGUCUGGAUGGUGGGGUUCGUGUCUUUUGUUGAUCGGGAUCAGCUUCUCAGUUAAAAGGUUUCCUUUUGGCCUGCGCUAACCAGCCUGAGACUCACCCAUCCGGGUCUCUCUCUCUCCCGGCUGAUUCCACUGGCAAGGUCCUUUAGACCUAAUGGAAAGAGCAAGAUAAGGAUCCGCUGAGACCAGGAGAACGGCCGUCCAGAUUGUGGCGAGGGAAAUUAAACCAAUUGAGGAAGUUGCUAUUUUUCAGGGACCAACAUUGAGCAAGUUCUAUCUACAUUCACAGCGGGUCCCCAUCCAUGGACUUCGCCAUGCUACUUCUACAGUAGCCCUAAACGGACAAACUUCUCUACAGAGGGCAUUUCGCAAAUAUGGUAUCUCCUUCGGAAAAGAAAGGAAAACAUGAACACAACAUAGUUCUGUAUCAGCCACCGUAGUGCUAAAAAAGGAAGGGGUGAAGUGAGCCGUUGAUCUCACCACUAGAUGCUGCAAAAUUUGAUACACUGGACAUUUAAGGUAGUAGAAGACGUCCACAUUAAUCGCCACAUCAUGCAGUUGUUAGAGACUAGCCAAACACUGAGUGCGUUUGAUGCACAGUCUUACCCCGAUUAGGCUUAAGAAGCAGAUAACUUGUAAGGUCAUGUAAAUGCGUAAAACGUUUUUCUCUCAUUUUUUCUUUAUGUGCACAUGUCUGACGCCGCAAUGGUACAAUUCCCAAACGGACGUAACAGUAAAAUAAUGUAUAAAAGUCUGCUCUCGAAUCAUGCAGUUAAUAUAGAAAUGGCAAAAUUAAAUACUAUUGUUGUAUGUGCAGGUACUGCGGACAUGAGAAGAGAUAUAAAAACACAGCUUCUGUUUUCCCGCUGCCUUUUUUUUAUUACUAGUCGGACUAUCGAUGGUGAGGUCACUGCAUGUAAGAAACCUGACAAGUCUCAAAUUUCCAUCUAAAUGCGGUUUGCAUAGCCCGUUCAUCGAUAUGUAAACACGUAAAAAACUUUUUAUAUAACCGUUUAUUUUGUUAUAUUGAUACAGUAUGCAUGUAACCACGUGAAAAUGAUAAGAUGAUUUUUUAUAGAUAUCAUUUUAUUUUGUGCAUGUAAACGUACUCACUUUAGUGUUUGUCUGUGUGUGUUUUUACAUUACAAGUGUUGCUAUCCAACAACAAUGCAGCUGUGUGUGUGUGAGUGAGGAUAACAGUUUUAAGAUUAGGCAUCGGUCUGUGUGUGUGUCAGUGUGAGUCAUGUAAGUGCUUUCUUUAAGCAGUCUUAAAAGCUGUUUUCAAUCAAGCAAAUGAUUCCUCUUUUGCAAUAUGUUAAUGCAGGACUGAUUUAUCCGUGUUGUAAAAGUUAAUUACCAUAUG